GAUACGACCGUACCGCAAACCGACACUGGUGCGCGAGAUGAGUAUUCUAAGGCGCUUGAGAGAACUCAGGAGAAGGAACUCGGCAAAUUGACACCGUAACUUCGGAAGAAGGUGUGCCCUAUUAGUGUGUUGUGAACAACGAAGCAUGAAUGGGUUGCAAAAAAUCGGUGGCUGCGACUGUUUAUUAAAAACACAGCACUCUGCAAACACGAAAGUGGACGUAUAGGGUGUGACGCCUGCCCGGUGCUGGAAGAUUAAAUGAUGGGGUGCAAGCUCUUGAUUGAAGUCCCAGUAAACGGCGGCCGUAACAAUAACGGUCCUAAGGUAGCGAAAUACCUUGUCGGGUAAGUUCCGACCUGCACGAAUGGCGUAACGAUGGCCACACUGUCUCCUCCUGAGACUCAGCGAAGUUGAAAUGUUUGUGAUGAUGCAAUCUCCCCGCGGAAAGACGGAAGGACCCCAUGAACCUUUACUGUAGCUUUGUAUUGGACUUUGAACAGAUCUGUGUAGGAUAGGUGGGAGGCUUUGAAGCAGGGUCGCUAGAUCUUGUGGAGCCAACGUUGAAAUACCACCCUGGUGUGUUUGAGGUUCUAACCUAGGUCCAUUAUCUGGAUCGGGGACAGUGCAUGGUAGGCAGUUUGACUGGAGCGGUCUCCUCCCAAAGCGUAACGGAGGAGUUCGAAGGUACGCUAGUUACGGUCGGACAUCGUGACGAUAGUGCAAUGGCAUAAGCGUGCUUAACUGCGAGACUGACAAGUCGAGCAGAUGCGAAAGCAGGACAUAGUGAUCCGGUGGUUCUGUAUGGAAGGGCCAUCGCUCAACGGAUAAAAGGUACUCUCUGGAUAACAGGCUGAUACCGCCCAAGAGUUCAUAUCGACGGCGGUUUUUGGCAUCUCGAUGUCGGCUCAUCUCAUCCUGGGGCUGUAGCCGGUCCCAAGGGUAUGGCUGUUCGCCAUUUAAAGAGGUACGUGAGCUGGGUUUAAAACGUCGUGAGACAGUUUGGUCCCUAUCUUCCGUGGGCGCUGCAGAUUUGAGGAAGCCUGCUCCUAGUACGAGAGGACCGGAGUGGACACACCUCUGGUGUAUCGGUUGUCACGCCAGUGGCAUUGCCGAGUAGCUAAGUGUGGAAGAGAUAACCGCUGAAAGCAUCUAAGCGGGAAACUCGUUUCAAGAUGAGAUCUGCCGGGGCCUUGAGCCCCCUAAAGAGUCGUUCAAGACCAGGACGUUGAUAGGUCAGGUGUGGAAGC
rnacentral:rRNA from 1 species